UUUGGUUGGCUUCCUAUAAUGAAUUAAAUGUCCUUCACAAUGUUUUUUUUUUAAAUUUUUUAUUGUUGGUUGUUCAAAACAUUACAAAUUUCUUGAUAUCCUUCACAAUGUUUUUGAAUGAAAUAUGGUAGAGGCUAUUUGGACACCAGUAUAAUUCUAAAACAAAAACCCCAUUAGGAUGUGCUUCUAAUGUUUUAUAAAGUAAUUCUAUACAGUGGUGGCUUUAUUCCAACGUGAAUAAUUCUUGCUAACAAUUCUUGCAGUAAACUUUGUUGCUUUGUUAUCUUUCAUGGAAAAAAAUUAAUCAGGAAUUGUUCACAAAUUGUAGUUUGAAAAUGCCAGUUUAAGGAGAUGAGAUCAAGUAAAUACCUGGGUGCUAACCACAGGCACAAGAAACAGAAACUAUGAAGUCUCCUGAGCUGCUGCCUUGUCUCAUCCCCCAAAUAGAAACUCCAUCCUGAAUCUUGGGUUAACUGUUCCUUUCCAUUUCUUUAAAGAAUUUUACAAUAAUUGUAUCAUCCCCAAUUAAAUGUUAAUUCAUUCUGCCUGUUUAUAACCUUCCUGCUGCAUGUGUGUUUCUGUGAUGCACAUAACAUGUAGAAGCCUUAUCCCUCCUGUGCAAGGCUGUCCUUCAUUUACUUUAAUGCAGAAGUUUUACUUUUGAUGAUUAUACCACCAUGUGGUACUUUCCUGUGGAUGUAAAAGUGGUUGAUUCCACUCUGCCAUAAACAUUAGUGCACAUGUCUCCUGUACACACAGGCAAGAAAGAUCUCAAGCAUAAAAUCAGGAAUAGGGGGCUGGGGUGUUGCUCAGUGGUAGAGCAUUCAACUAGCAUGUGUGAGGCACUGGGUACAAUCCUCAGCACCACAUAAAAAUAAAUAAAUAAAAUAAAAUAAAG
rnacentral:lncRNA from 1 species